AGAGUUUGAUCAUGGCUCAGAUUGAACGCUGGCGGCAUGCCUUACACAUGCAAGUCGAACGGCAGCACGGGGGCAACCCUGGUGGCGAGUGGCGAACGGGUGAGUAAUACAUCGGAAUGUACCCAGUAGUGGGGAUAACUAGUCGAAAGAUUAGCUAAUACCGCAUACGCACUAUGGUGGAAAGCGGGGGAUCGCAAGACCUCGCGCUAUUGGAGCAGCCGAUGUCCGAUUAGGUAGUUGGUGGGGUAAAAGCCUACCAAGCCUGCGAUCGGUAACUGGUCUGAGAGGACGACCAGUCACACUGGGACUGAGACACGGCCCAGACUCCUACGGGAGGCAGCAGUGGGGAAUUUUGGACAAUGGGGGAAACCCUGAUCCAGCAAUGCCGCGUGUGUGACGAAGGCCUUCGGGUUGUAAAGCACUUUUGGCGGGAACGAAACGGCGCUUUCUAAUACAGGGGGCUAAUGACGGUACCGUAAGAAUAAGCACCGGCUAACUACGUG
rnacentral:rRNA from 1 species